CAUUUUCACCAACCAUUUUUGUUUGAAUUAUUUUGCACAAAUUAUGAAUAUCCCUAAAGUGUUAGUUCCACCACGAUCAACCAAUUUUAUUUACAUUUAUUUAUUUUUGUUGUUGUUUUGCACAAAUUACAACUAUCCCUUAGUUAUGGUGUAAUUUCCACUGCAAUCAACAAUUUUGCCAAUAAUAAAGUCCUUUAAAGGUUAGUGUACAUAUUUGAGAGCUUGAGAUGAAAUAUGUCAGGAUUAUGGACCUGUGUGUGUGUUUUGCUCCCAAUGACCCAGUUUUCUCCCUCGUGUUGAUUGUGUUUAUUCGAUUCCAGGUGUGUCACGUUUCCCCCUGAUUAUCCUGUGUUUAAAAGCCAGUCCAUUCAGUUAAUGUUUGUCGGUCCUUGAAUGUCAUCCUUGUUCAUGCUGAUGUGCUAUGGCUGUCUCCUGGCUCCCCUGUGGAUUAUUAAAGACAGUUCUAUGUUAAAUACCUUGUUCCUUGCUUCAAACACCCUGUUGCAUUUGUAAGCAUGUGUCCAGAGGAGUAUGAGUCGACACAGAACAACAGAGAAUCCAGCACCAUCUUACCUGUAGCAGAAUCUCACCUGUCAACAGGAAAAAUUAGUGCAGAUGACAUUCACACUCAGACUGAU